UACAGAGGGGGCAAGCGUUGUUCGGAAUUACUGGGCGUAAAGGGCGCGUAGGCGGCCUUCUAAGUCGAACGUGAAAUCCCCGGGCUCAACCCGGGAACUGCGUCCGAUACUGGAAGGCUUGAAUCCGGGAGAGGGAUGCGGAAUUCCAGGUGUAGCGGUGAAAUGCGUAGAUAUCGGGAAGAACACCCGUGGCGAAGGCGGUUCUCUGGGACGGUACUGACGCUGAGACGCGAAAGCGUGGGGAGCGAACAGG
rnacentral:rRNA from 1 species